rnacentral:rRNA from 1 species
UGGAGGCAGCAGUAAGGAAUAUUGGUCAAUGGAGGCAACUCUGAACCAGCCAUGCCGCGUGAAGGAUGAAGGCGCUCUGCGUCGUAAACUUCUUUUAUAUGGGGCGAAAAUGCUGGAUUUAUCCAGUACUGACAGUACCAUAGGGAUAAGCACCGGCUAACUCCGUGCCAGCAGCCGCGGUAAUACGGAGGGUGCAAGCGUUAUCCGGAUUUACUGGGUUUAAAGGGUGCGUAGGCGGGACAUUAAGUCAGUGGUGAAAGCUCGUUGCUUAACAACGGAAUUGCCAUUGAAACUGAUAUUCUUGAGAUAAGUUGAGGUUGGCGGAAUGUGACAUGUAGCGGUGAAAUGCUUAGAUAUGUCAUAGAACACCGAUUGCGAAGGCAGCUGACUGGACUUUAUCUGACGCUGAGGCACGAAAGCGUGGGGAUCAAACAGGAUUAGAUACCCUGGUAGC